rnacentral:sRNA from 1 species
GCCAGGUGUGGUGGUGCACACCUGUAACCUCAGCAACUUGGGAGGCUAAGGCAAGAGGAUGGAAAGUUUAGGCCAGCCUAGGCAACUUAAUGAGACCUUGUCUCAA